rnacentral:lncRNA from 1 species
AUUUUUUGAAUAGGGGAGUGCAUGUACAUGCAGAGAAUGAUGAUGAAGUCGAUGUGGUUUCUGAUACUCGUCGACGUAACGAAAUUGGAACAUCAGGUGAACGAUGACGUAAGGAACCUAAGAUCAGUAAAAGUGAUAAACUUGAGGCAUGCAUGGCACAAUGGUCAUCUACAGUUAGUAUGAGGAAUGAAGAAACUGAACUUAGAACACUUUAUCUGAAAGAAAAGCUUGCAAAGAUUCAAGGAAAAUCAAGUAAUCAGUCAGAUGUUGAAGUUAACAGUCCGGAUCCUUAUUCAAAUGUCAUUUGCAUGGACAUCUUAAACGAUAUUGAAGGGUUGUCUAAUGAGGUUUAUAUGAAAGCAAUAC